rnacentral:lncRNA from 1 species
UAAGUCAAAUAUUGAUGGAACCAUGGUAGUCAUGUUCGUUAGUGUUCCGGAAGAUCAUGAGACAAUUAUUGUGGUAGAUGUUGAAGCCAGGACAGUUGUAAAGGUGUUGGUAGAGGAAUUACGUCUGAAGUUUGGAUCAGACAUUGAUUUCCUGGUAUCGCCACAAUUGGUGCCAAAUAACAAGAGCUUCAUAUUCUUUUGGGGUCGAAAAGAUUCAUUAUUGAAUUAUUUUAUGUAUGAUUUAAAAGAAG